rnacentral:rRNA from 1 species
GACGAACGCUGGCGGCGCGCUUAACACAUGCAAGUCGAACGGAAAGGCCUGCUUUCCCUUGUGGAUUGCGGGUACUCGAGUGGCGAACGGGUGAGUAACACGUGCGUGAUCUGCCCCCAACUUGGGUAUAAGCCUGGGAAACUGGGUCUAAUUCCCGAUAGGACUGCAGGGUGGUGCCUGUGGUGGAAAACGAUUUUCUAGUGGUUGGGGAUGAGCUCGCGGCCUAUCAGCUUGUUGGUGGGGUAAUGGCCUACCAAGGCGGCGACGGGUAGCCGGCCUGGGAGGGUGGACGGCCACAUUGGGACUGAGAUACGGCCCAGACUCCUACGGGAGGCAGCAGUGGGGAAGAUUGCACAAUGGGCGGAAGCCUGAUGCAGCGACGCCGCGUGGGGGAUGACGGCCUUCGGGUUGUAAACUCCUUUCGACCGCGAGGAAGCCACCUGGUUGGAAGGGUGGUGACGGUAGUGGUAGAAGAAGCACCGGCUAACUACGUG